AUUGAACGCUGGCGGCAGGCCUAACACAUGCAAGUCGAGCGAGCGGCGGACGGGUGAGUAAUGUAUGGGGACUGCCCGAUAGAGGGGGAUAACUACUGGAAACGGUAGCUAAUACCGCAUACUAUCGGAUAACCUAUAUGGGAUUAGAUAGUAGGUGAGGUAAUGGCUCACCUAGGCGACGAUCCCUAGCUGGUCUGAGAGGCGGAUCAGCCACACGAGGACUGAGACAGGGCCCAGACUCGUACGGAGGCAGCAGUGGAGAAUAUUGGACAGUGGGCGCAAGCAUGAUGCAGCCAUGCCGCGUGUAUGAAGAAAGCCCUGGGGUUGUAAAGUACAUGCAGUCGGGAGGCGUUACCGACAGGAGUAGCACCGGCUAACUCCGUGCCAGGAGCCGGGGUAAUAC
rnacentral:rRNA from 1 species